AUACUGUACGCUAACCUCGAUAUGCUGACGACGCAGCGUUUUACUGUAUUUUGUAAGUUCUAACAUUUCAUUAUCAAAAUUUAGCGUUGAUAAAACUAAAGUGUUGUUCAUAUCGUGAGAUGUAAAAUUAAACCGUCGAAAAUUUAAAGCUUUUUGGCAUACAUAGUACAUAGGCCCAGAAACCAAGAAUCUAAGCUUGACAUUAAACGACGUCCAUUAUACGCAAACUUCGAAAUCUAGAAACCCCUAAACAAGUUUAAAGAUUACGAAUACUGAAUGAUGUUUCAAACCCUGGGCUGUUCUUUCCCAUAACACGAAGUGUGUAAUUUAAAAACCGCUGCCUAUAAUGAAUGUGUUAUUAGACCUGCGUCGUGUAGAGAACCUGCUGACACUAAGCGUUAUUACCCUUCACUAACACUGGGGCAGCUAAUAUAACAAACCGAAAAGUAACGUUACAUGUUUCCAUGCUGGUAAGAUGUUACGUCAUCGUAAAAUCCAAAAUAAGAUAUCAGACUUAGAAGACGGAAACCAAACAGAACGCAGUCGUUCAAAAUAGAACUAUGAACUAGAACUUGUUGAUUAAUCUAAAGCACUAUUUAUUCGUAUGUCUUUCGCGAUAGCUGUAUACAGCCACACAGAGUAU